CCCUAACCCAAGUCUAACCCCAGCCCCAAGUCUAACCCCAACCUCAAGUCUCACCCAACGUCUCAGAGUCUAGCUUACCUUCACACCUACCUGUUGCACUUAGCUUCAAGUGGGAUCUGUGUCCUGGUAAUGUUGAAUUAAAGCACACCACUGAAUUAGAUUGCAUAAGUAUUUGUUUAUUACAGCACUGUUUCCUCAAGACAUGACUCGUACAAUUGUAUGCACACUACAGCAAUGCCUACAUGUUGACAAACAAAACAUGAAUACACGUACUCCAUACAAUUGCAAGACACCGUUUACAGGCGCAGCACCCACCUACUCCAUACAAUUCCAAGACACCGUUUACAGGCGCAGCACCCGCGUACUCCAUACAUUUUAAGGCAUGGUUUACAUAUAACGCAUAUGUCAGACUCACAAGACAAAGGUCACAAAGCCUCCAUAUCCAAUAAAUAACAUUACAUUUACACUAAUAUUGUGUACUGCAACCCACCUCAAGAGCAGAGCAGAUCUCAGCCCACCUGAAGUAAAUGCAAGCCUCAGACAGGCCGGGAAGGAGAGCAAAUGGGCUCCGUUGGUUAUGGGGUUGGGUUAGCCCUGCGGUACAAACAAACAUAGCAAAGCUAACCCAACCCCGUAAGCAAGGCAAAGCUAAAGCCAAUUUGGCUGAGAUCAAUUGAUUGCAAAGCUAAAGCCAAUUUGGGCAAGAUCAAUUGACUGCACAUGCCAAAAUCGGCGCAACUCUCAGAAUGGCCGCGCAAAGGGGCGUGAGUCUCAGACUGGCCGGGAAGGAGCGCAAAUGGGCUCCGAAGGCCUCGGGCGUUGGUUACGGGGUUGGGUUAGCCCUGCGGUACAAACAAACAAAGCAAAGCUAACCCAACCCCGUAAGCAAGGCAAAGCUAAAGCCAAUUUGGCUGAGAUCAAUUGAUUGCAAAGCUAAAGCCAAUUUGGGCAAGAUCAAUUGACUGCACAUGCCAAAAUCGGCAGCAACUCUCAGAAUGGCCUGUGCAAAGGGGCAUGAGUCUCAGACUGGCCGGGAAGGAGCGCAAAUGGGCUCCGAAGGCCUCGGGCGUUGGUUACGGGGUUGGGUUAGCCCUGCGGUACAAACAAACAAAGCAAAGCUAACCCAACCCCGUAAGCAAGGCAAAGCUAAAGCCAAUUUGGCUGAGAUCAAUUGAUUGCAAAGCUAAAGCCAAUUUGGGCAAGAUCAAUUGACUGCACAUGCCAAAAUCGGCGCAACUCUCAGAAUGGCCGCGCAAAGGGGCGCGAGUCUCAGACUGGCCGGGAAGGAGCGCAAAUGGGCUCCGAAGGCCUCGGGCGUUGGUUACGGGGUUGGGUUAGCCCUGCGGUACAAACAAACAAAGCAAAGCUAACCCAACCCCGUAAGCAAGGCAAAGCUAAAGCCAAUUUGGCUGAGAUCAAUUGAUUGCAAAGCUAAAGCCAAUUUGGGCAAGAUCAAUUGACUGCACAUGCCAAAAUCGGCGCAACUCUCAGAAUGGCCGCGCAAAGGGGCGCGAGUCUCAGACUGGCCGGGAAGGAGCGCAAAUGGGCUCCAAAGGCCUCGGGCGUUGGUUACGGGGUUGGGUUAGCCCUGCGGUACAAACAAACAAAGCAAAGCUAACCCAACCCCGUAAGCAAGGCAAAGCUAAAGCCAACUUAGUUGCAAUGCAUUAACUGCAAAGCUAAAGCCAAUUUGGUUGAGAUAAAUUAUUUGUAAAGCUAAAGCCAAUUGGGUUGAUGCAAAAUGACUGCACGCGCUGAAAUCAGCGUGACUCUCAGCAUGGCCGUGAGUCUCAAACAGACUGGAUGGAGUGCGAAUGGUCCCUGUCCAGCUACAGGAUGUCAGUUACGGGAUUAGGGUCAGCCACGCUAGCAAACUCAAAGCGAAGGUGACCCAACCCCAUGAGUGAGGCAAACCCUUUGAUGUGCUAUCCCUCGAAAUUCUCUCAAAGAUUGCAGCCGGCUACUUGGACGGGUACGUUGCUUGCUAGAUGAAGAACUAGCUGAACCGCCUGGCCUAAUGAGUGCUGCUCCGAUCGUGUUAAAUGCAGCUGGUAUGCCAUCCUGAGUGCUCUUCAGGCCUGUUCUGUCCAAUAUCUUCAUUGAAGACCUGCCUGAUGGCAUGGAGUGCACCUUUGGUAAGUUUGCUGAGGGCGUUGCAUCAGAUUAGCACUAUGUUUGGAGUUCAGAGCUCAUUAGGAGUUGGGGUGAAGGUAUAAGGGUUAGGUUUAUUAGGGUUAUGCUCAAAGUGACUGUUAGGGAAGGCCAAGGCAAAGGCAACAACACCCAAGGGAACACCAAAACCGAGGGCAAAGGCAUAGACAACAACCAAGGGAAGGCAACGUCAAAGGCACAGUGAAAGCAAAGGUAUGGAGAACACCAAAGAGAAGACCUCCUCAGAGGGCAGGCCCAAAGAGAGGGCCUCAGAGAACAAAACAGAGACCAAAGAGAACACCGUGGCAAGGCCAAAAUGGAGGGCGAGGUCCAUGAGAACGCUGCAGGGAAGGCCGAUGCAGGAGGCCAAGGGCAAUGGCCAAAGAGAAUGCAGCACAGAAGGCCAAAACCAAAGGCCAAAGAGAACGCUGUAGGGAAUGCCAAAACAAGAAGGCCAAAGGCAAAGGCCAAACAGAACGCAACAAGGAAUGCCAAAACCAAAGGCCAAAGAGAUCGUCGCAGAGAAUGCCACAACAGGGGGCUGAAAGGAGCACAGGCAAAGAAGGCCAAGGGCAAAGGUCAAAGAGAACAUGGAAGGGAACGCCAAAGAGAAUGUGGCAAAGGCGGUCAAACGCGAUGGCCAGGAGAACGUGGCAUGGAUGGCAAAAACCUAAGGCCAAAUAGAACACUGCAUGGAACACCAGAAGUGAUGGCCAAAGAGAACGCUGCAGGGAACGCCAAAACCUGAGGCCAAAAAGAAUGCCGCAAAGAAGGCCAAGGGCAAUGGCCAAGAGAACAUGACAAGGAAUGCAAAAACAAGAGGACAAGAGAAUGUAGUAGGGAACGCCAAGGGCAAAGGGAAGGAGAACACCGCCGUGAAAGGCCAGAGCCAAGGAGAACGUGCAAAGAAUAGGACGGGCAGCCUUCGGGGAACCCUGCAGUGCAGAAAGGAGCUCUGGGAACCCUACCUUGUGUCUCACUCAGUAAGGGGUAAACACUGGUGGGUGUGCAUUGUCCUUACCUGCUGGGCAGACAAUUACCAGUCAGCAAAGUGGAGUUCCAGGGCAUCCCGGGAAAUGCAGCUUUCGGUUCCUGGCUGUUCCCGUGAAGACCUGCACAUCUCUCCGUGCAGUCCUUACAGCACUCGGGAGUGCUGCAGCUCUCUGCUGCCACCUGUUGGACACAAUGCAGGAAUGAAGGCGCUGCCCCGCAUAUGUAGGGCUGCACCCUGCGUGCAUUGCUCUAUAGGAUGACACAAGGGAGUAUUAGGAAUAUAAUGAAUGCUAUGCAUAGGUUUGAAGUUACAAUUAGCUUAACAAUUGUUUUCCACACUAUGAUUAGGAUUAAGGGUACUGUGACAGAAAACAAGCGGCAUUAUUUUUAUUGCAGCAUUUAGGUUAAGAGACAUUUUUAAUAUUGGCUUAAUAGUUAGGCUUACAUAUACACUGUGGGUUAACAUAAUUAUCAUUAGAGCUCACAUUAAGCUACGGGUUCAGGUCAAGAUUAACAUUCACGCUGCCUCCCAGCCAAUCCCAGAGAGCCAAAGAAAAAAGGCAAGCUGAACUCGCACCGAAAGCCAAGGUAAAGGCAAAGCAAACAGCCAAGGCGAAGGGAAGGGCAAAAGCAAGGAGAGCACCCAACGGAAAGCCAAGGUGAGGGUGAGGAGACAGCAGCAGGAAAAACCAAGGGCAAAGGCCAAGAGAACACAGCAAAAAAUGCCAAAACAGAAGGCCGAGGGAACACAUGCAUGGAAUGCUCAGGUCAGGGCAAGGGCUAAGAGAACGUGGCAGGAAGUGCCAAAACAGGAGGCCAAAGAGAACACGGCAAAGAAGGCCAAGGCAGAAGGCUGAGAGAAGGUGGCUGGGAACACCAGAACAUGAUGCCAAAGAGAACGCUGCAGGAAACGCCCAAACAGGAGGGCAAGAGAACACUGCAGGGAACGCCAAAACUGAAUGCUGAAGAGAACGUGGCAGAAGAAAAAGAAGUUCAAUAGCCAAGAGAAUGUGGCAUGGAACGCAAAAACAGGAGGGCAAGGGAAUGCCUAGGUAAGGGCCAAGAGAAUGUGGAAGGAAAUGCCAAGGAAAUGGCCAAGAGAACAUGACAAGAAACGCCAAAACAGAAGGGCAAGAGAGCACUGCAGGGAACGCCAAAACUGAAUGUUGAAGUGAAUGUGGCCAAGAAAGUCAAGGGCAAUGGCCAAGAGAACAUGACAAGGAAUGCAAACAAGAGGACAAGAGAAUGUAGUAGGGAACGCCAAGGGCAAAGGGAAGGAGAACACCGCCGUGAAAGGCCAGAGCCAAGGAGAACGUGCAAAGAAUAGGACGGGCAGCCUUCGGGGAACCCUGAAGUGCAGAAAGGAGCUCUGGGAACCCUACCUUGUGUCUCACUCAGUAAGGGGUAAACACUGGUGGGUGUGCAUUGUCCUUACCUGCUGGGCAGACAAUUACCAGUCAGCAAAGUGGAGUUCCAGGGCAUCCCAGGAAAUGCAGCUUUCGGUUCCUGGCUGUUCCCGUGAAGACCUGCACAUCUCUCCGUGCAGUCCUUACAGCACUCGGGAGCGCUGCAGCUCUCUGCUGCCACCUGUUGGACACAAUGCAGGAAUGAAGGCGCUGCCCCGCAUAUGUAGGGCUGCACCCUGCGUGCAUUGCUCUAUAGAAUGACGCAAGGGACUAUUAGGGAUAUAAUUAAUGCUGUUUAUAAGUUACUUAAUGGGGGUCAGGGGAUGGGAGGAAAAGGUGUGGGGGUUUGGGUAUCAUACAGAUUAGGAAACAAAUAGCAUCUCCUGACAAUUGGGAUGAGAUAUCUGGAGAUCCUGACUGUAGUCAUCCAGAAGAGGACAACCCUUUCUUUUUUAUUAACACAAACCCAGAUCUGCUGGUGAAACAGAAAUGACCGUAAGACCCUGGGGAAGUCAGCAUAGUCGUGAUGUUCCAUUAGCUGCUCCACAGGCCUCACACCACCGAUUAGAGGAGUCCCAACAAUCCUUAAAACCCACUGAGCUGCAAACUGAGAUCAGAAGAGAGGACAUAAUUUAAAACAUGAUAAUGAUGCCCAGAAUGCCCUUCAACAACUCUGCGUGGGUGCAAUUAACACAUGGCACUGUGAAUUACAGCCAUAAGAUGGGAUGAUGGGGGAGAAGACAAACCACAUUUGGAGCCGAGGUUGGAGAUCAUGAGGUGAAAACCAUGAAAGAGGAAACAGCGACUCAAUCAGAAAGAAAUGGGCUUAAAAAGGGCUGCAAACAGGAUCUGCAGAAUGCAGAACCCCUGAACGGAAUAGGGUAUUAACUGUCACCGUGUCCAGAACCGCAGCGCUCAGUCAGCCAAUCAGCAUCAUUAGGGCUCAUUGAAGCAAUCCAGAAGCAAGGGAACUGUGAAAGGAAGGAAUGGAUGUCAGUCCAUCCAUCAGCUGCUCAGAGAACAGGAGAGAACCCCUUCAUCUCCCUUAGGACAAGACUGAAGGCACCGUAGGGACACACACAGCAGAUACAGCUGCUCUAAUCCAGCUCAGGAUCUCCCCGGAAAGACAUGGCUCACAGCUCUACAAUAAAGCAGGAAUCCCUCACCCCAUUUAAGGGCUUCCCCCCACACCCCAAAGGAAGCAGUCUCCAAGUUCAGAUACAGGCCUGAAAGCUACCAGUUCUUACAUGGGGUCAAGAUCCCCCCAAAAGAGGAGCUCAGAGCCCUGAAAUUCAGAAAGAACCACUUACCCCAUUCCAAGGACCAAUACUCACUCGCUCCCCCAAAGAAGCAGUUUCCAGGUACAGAUGGCUGCCAGCCCCAAAAUGCAGCUAUGAACCCCCAGCAAAGGGGUAGAUCACAGCCCUCCAAUACAGAAGAACUCACCCCCACACCCUCAAGGAAGCACACCCAGACUCAGAUGCUGCCCCCUUUGCUUCCCAGCCCUUAAAUGCGGUCAGGGAGGGGAGGAGCCCGUCUCAGCCCCACCCCACAGCCAAAUUGCCAUCAGCUGUGCUCGCAGGGCUGCACCUCCCCAGGUGAAUGGGAGCUGCUGAGUCAUGGCCUGAACCACUGAUUGAUUGGCUGAGGCAGAACUCAGUCAGCUGUGGGAGCACAGGUGGAGUCAAUCCAGAGUGUGAAUAGAAGGUGGAGCCUGGCUGCAGCUCUCCAAGAUAGCAUUUAAGGGCUGACUACCCCCAGGAAAAGGUCUAUAUUGUAACUUCGGGAUGUUUGUUUUCAGGAUUCUCUAUCAGAGCAUCUUAUAAGGCAAUAAGAGUUAAAGAGCCUACAUUGUGGAUGAGCGUGCUGCUUCCCUGAGCACUUCGGGUCCUCAAAAAAGAAAAAAGGAGCAACAUUCCUGGAGGAAACUGGCAAAAAAAGGUAGGCAUUUUGAUUACUUACAUACACAUGAAUAAUAUAUAUAUAUCAGGUUGACUGAUUGCAUCACUACAAAAUCAUGCAUUUUCUUUCAAAAAAAUCCACAUAUACCCGAAAAACAUCCAUUUUCUCUCUGAAAAUCCCCCAUUUACUCAACUAUCAUGCUUUUUCUCUUAGAAAAUACCCCAUCUACCCAAAUAACCAGCAUUCUGAUUUCAAAAUCCGAAAGCUAAACAAAAAAAUCAUCACUUUCUCAAUGAAAAUUCCACAUUAAAAGCAAAAAUCAUGCAUUGCAACUUCAAAAAUACUCCAUUUAACCCGAAUGUCAUCCAUUGGCUUUAUGAAAUCUCAAAUUAAACAGAAAAUUACGCAUUUUCACUUUGAGAAUCCCCCAAUUAAAGCAAAAUAAGGCAGUGCCUUCAGAAAUCCCCCAUUUAAGCGAAAAUCACGAGUUUUCUCUUCGCAAAUCCCCCAUCUAAGCCGAAAAUCACGCAUUUCUCUUCAGAAAUCCCACAUUUAAGCGAAAAUCACGCGCUUUUCUCUUCGCAAAUCCCCCAUUUAACCGAAAAUCACGCGUUUUCUCUUCGCAAAUCCCCCAUUUAACCGAAAAUCACGCGUUUUCUCUUCGCAAAUCCCCCAUUUAAGCCGAAAAUCACGCAUUUUCUCUUCGCAAAUCCCCCAUUUAACCGAAAAUCACGCGUUUUCUCUUCGCAAAUCCCCCAUUUAACCGAAAAUCACGCGUUUUCUCUUCCAAAUCCCCCAUUUAAGCGAAAAUCACGCGUUUUCUCUUCGAGAAUCCCCCAUUUAACGAAAAAUCACGCGUUUUCUCUUCGCAAAUCCCCCAUUUAAGCCGAAAAUCACGCGUUUUCUCUUCGCAAAUCCCCCAUUUAACCCGAAAAUCACGCGUUUUCUCUUCGCAAAUCCCCCAUUUAAGCGAAAAUCACGCGUUUUCUCUUCAGCAAAUCCCCCAUUUAACUCGAAAAUCACGCGUUUUCUCUUCGCAAAUCCCCCAUUUAAGCGAAAAUCACGCGUUUUCUCUUCGGAAAUCCCCAUUUAAUUCGAAAAUCACGCGUUUUCUCUUCGAGAAUCCCCCAUUUAAGCCCGAAAAUCACUGUGUUUUCUCUUCGAGAAUCCCUCAUUUAACCCGAAAUCACGCGUUUUCUCUUCAGAAAUCUCCCAUUUAACCCGAAAAUCACGCGUUUUCUCUUCGAAGAAUCCCCCAUUUAAGCGAAAAUCACGCGUUUUCUCUUCGCAAAUCCCCCAUUUAACUCGAAAAUGACGCGUUUUCUCUUUGCAAAUCCCCCAUUUAACCAAAAAUCACGCGUUUUCUCUUCGCAAAUCCCCCAUUUAACUCGAAAAUGACGCAUUUUCUCUUCACAAAUCCCCCAUAUAGGCGAAAAUCACGCGUUUUCUCUUCGCAAAUCCCCCAUUUAACUCGAAAAUCACGCAUUUUCUCUUCGCAAAUCCCCCAUUUAACCCGAAAAUCACGCAUUUUCUCUUCGGAAAUCCCCCAUUUAACCAAAAAUCAUGUGUUUUCUCUUCGAGAAUUCCCAUUUCUAACCCGAAAAUCACGCGUUUUCUCUUCGAGAAUCCCCCAUUUAACCCGAAAAUCACGCGUUUUCUCUUCCAAAUCCUUCAUUUAAGCGAAAAUCACGCGUUUUCUCUUCGCAAAUCCCCCAUUUAACCCGAAAAUCACGUGUUUUCUCUUCGCAAAUCCCCCAUUUAACCCGAAAAUCACGCGUUUUCUCUUUGCAAAUCCACCUUUUAACUCGAAAAUCACUCGUUUUCUCUUCAAGAAUCCCCCAUUGAAGCGAAAAUCACGCGUUUUCUCUUCGCAAAUCCCCCAUUUAACUCGAAAAUGACGCGUUUUCUCUUCGCAAAUCCCCCAUUUAACUCGAAAAUCACUCAGUAUCCUCCUCGCAAAUCCGCCAUUUAACCCGAAAAUCACGCAUUUUCUCUUCGGAAAUCCCCCAUUUAACCAAAAAUCAUGCGUUUUCUCUUCGCAAAUCCCCCAUUUAAGCGAAAAUCACGCGUUUUCUCUUCGCAAAUCCCCCAUUUAACCGAAAAUCACGCGUUUUCUCUUCGCAAAUCCCCCAUUUAAGCGAAAAUCACGCGUUUUUCUCUUCGCAAAUCCCCCAUUUAACCGAAAAUCACGCGUUUUCUCUUCGCAAAUCCCCCAUUUAAGCGAAAAUCACGCGUUUUCUCUUCGCAAAUCCCCCAUUUAAGCCGAAAAUCACGCGUUUUCUCUUCGCAAAUCCCCCAUUUAAGCGAAAAUCACGCGUUUUCUCUUCGCAAAUCCCCCAUUUAAGCCGAAAAUCACGCGUUUUCUCUUCGCAAAUCCCCCAUUUAACCCGAAAAUCACGCGUUUUCUCUUCGCAAAUCCCCCAUUUAAGCGAAAAUCACGCGUUUUCUCUUCGCAAAUCCCCCAUUUAAGCGAAAAUCACGCGUUUUCUCUUCGCAAAUCCCCCAUUUAAGCGAAAAUCACGCGUUUUCUCUUCGAGAAUCCCCCAUUUAACCCGAAAAUCACUCAUUUUCUCUUCAAGAAUCCCUCAUUUAACCCGAAUAUCAUACGCUUUCUCUUCAGAAAUCUUCCAUUUAACCCGAAAAUCACUCGUUUUCUCUUCAAGAAUCCCCCAUUUAAGCGAAAAUCACGCGUUUUCUCUUCGCAAAUCCCCCAUUUAACUCGAAAAUGACGCAUUUUCUCUUUGCAAAUCCCCCAUUUAACUCGAAAAUGACGCGUUUUCUCUUCGCAAAUCCCCCAUUUAACUCGAAAAUGACGUGUUUUCUCUUCGCAAAUCCCCCAUUUAACUCGAAAAUCACGCAUAUCCUCCUCGCAAAUCCGCCAUUUAACCCGAAAAUCAUGCGUUUUCUCUUGGAGAAUCUUCCAUUUAACCCGAAAAUCACUCAUAUCCUCUGCGCAAAUCCCCAUUUAACCCGAAAAUGACGCGUUUUCUCUUUGCAAAUCCCCCAUUUAACCGGAAAAUCACGCGUUUUCUCUUCGAGAUUCCCCCAUUUAACCCGAAAAUCACGCGUUUUCUAUUUGCAAAUCCACCUUUUAACUCGAAAAUCACGGUUUUCUCUUCGCAAAUCCCCCAUUUAAGCGAAAAUCACGCGUUUUCUCUUCGCUAAUACCCCAUUUAACUAAAAAUCACGUGUUUUCUCUUCGAGAAUCCCCCAUUUAACCCGAAAAUCACGCGUUUUCUCUUCAGAAAUCUUCCAUUUAACCCGAAAAUCACUCGUUUUCUCUUCAAGAAUCCCCCAUUUAAGCGAAAAUCACGCGUUUUCUCUUCGCAAAUCCCCCAUUUAACUCGAAAAUGACGCGUUUUCUCUUUGCAAAUCCCCCAUUUAAGCGAAAAUCACGCGUUUUCUCUUCGCAAAUCCCCCAUUUAACUCGAAAAUGACGCGUUUUCUCUUCGCAAAUCCCCCAUUUAACUCGAAAAUCACUCAGUAUCCUCCUCGCAAAUCCGCCAUUUAACCCGAAAAUCACGCAUUUUCUCUUCGAAAUCCCCCAUUUAACCGAAAAUCACGUGUUUUCUCUUCGAGAAUUCCCCAUUUUAACCGAAAAUCACGCGUUUUCUCUUCGAGAAUCCCCCAUUUAACCCGAAAAUCACGCGUUUUCUCUUCGCAAAUCCCUCAUUUAAGCGAAAAUCACGCGUUUUCUCUUCGCAAAUCCCCCAUUUAACCGAAAAUCACGUGUUUUCUCUUCGCAAAUCCCCCAUUUAACCCGAAAAUCACGCGUUUUCUCUUCGCAAAUCCCCCAUUUAACCAAAAAUCACGCGUUUUCUCUUCGAGAAUCCCCCAUUUAACCCGAAAAUCACGCGUUUUCUCUUCGCAAAUCCCCCAUUUAACCCGAAAAAUCACGCGUUUUCUCUUCGCAAAUCCCCCAUUUAAGCAAAAAUCACGCGUUUUUCUCGUCGCAAAUCCCCCAUUUAAGCAAAAAUCACGCGUUUUCUCUUCGCAAAUCCCCCAUUUAACCCGAAAAUCACACGUUUUCUCUUUGCAAAUCCCCCAUUUAAGCGAAAAUCACGCGUUUUCCUCUUCGCAUAUCUUCCCAUUUAAGCGAAAAUCACGCGUUUUCUCUUCGAGAAUCCCCCAUUUAAGCGAAAAUCACGCAGUUUUCUCUUCGCACAUCCCCCAUUUAACCCGAAAAUCACGCGUUUUCUCUUCGCAAAUCCCCCAUUUAACUGAAAAUCACGCGUUUUCUCUUCGCAAAUCCCCCAUUUAAGUGAAAAUCACGCGUUUUCUCUUCACAAAUCCCCCAUUUAAGCAAAAAUCACGCGUUUUCUCUUCGCAAAUCCCCCAUUUAACCCGAAAAUCACGCGUUUUCUCUUCGAGAAUCCCCCAUUUAAGUGAAAAUCACGCGUUUUCUCUUCGCAAAUCCCCCAUUUAACCGAAAAUCACGCGUUUUCUCUUCGAGAAUCCCCCAUUGAACCCGAAAAACACACGUUUUCUCUUCGCAAAUCCCCCAUUUAAGCAAAAAUCACGCGUUUUCUCUUCGCAAAUCCCCCAUUUAACCGAAAAUCACGCGUUUUCUCUUCGCAAAUCCCCCAUUUAAGCGAAAAUCAUGCGUUUUCUCUUCGCAAAUCCCCCAUUUAAGCCGAAAAUAACGCGUUUUCUCUUCGAGAAUCCCCCAUUUAACCCAAAAAUCAUGCGUUUUCUCUUCGAGAAUCCCCCAUUUAAGCGAAAAUCACGCGUUUUCUCUUCGCAAAUCCCCCAUUUAACCCGAAAAUCACGCGUUUCCUCUUUAGAAUCCCCACUUUAACUUAAAAAUCACGCAUUUUCUCUUCGCAAAUCCCCCAUUUAAGCAAAAAUCACGCGUUUUCUCUUCGAGAAUUUUCCAUUUAAGGGAAAAUCACGCAUUUUCUCUUUGCAAAUCUCCCAUUUAAGCGAAAAUCACGCGUUUUCUCUUCGCAAAUCCCCCAUUUAACCCGAAAAUCACGCGUUUUCUCUUCGCAAAUCCCCCAUUUAAGCGAAAAAUCACGCGUUUUCUCUUCGCAAAUCCCCCAUUUAAGCGAAAAUCACGCGUUUUCUCUUCGCAAAUCCCCCAUUUAAGCGAACAUCACGCGUUUUCUCUUCGCAAAUCCCCCAUUUAACCCGAAAAUCACGCGUUUUCUCUUCGCAAAUCCCCCAUUUAACCCGAAAAUCAAGCGUUUUCUCUUUGCAAAUCCCCCAUUUAACCCGAAAAUCACGCGUUUUCUCGUCGCAAAUCCCCCAUUUAAGCAAAAAUCACGCGUUUUCUCUUCGCAAAUCCCCCAUGUUACCCGAAAAUCACGCGUUUUCUCUUCGAGAAUCCCCCAUUUAAGUGAAAAUCACGCGUUUUCUCUUCGCAAAUCCCCCAUUUAAGCAAAAAUCACGCGUUUUCUCUUCGAGAAUCCCCCAUUGAACCCGAAAAACACACGUUUUCUCUUCGCAAAUCCCCCAUUUAAGCAAAAAUCACGUGUUUUCUCUUCGCAAAUCCCCCAUUUAACCGAAAAUCACGCGUUUUCUCUUCGCAAAUCCCCCAUUUAAGCGAAAAUCACGCGUUUUCUCUUCGCAAAUCCCCCAUUUAAGCGAAAAUCACGCGUUUUCUCUUCACAAAUCCCCCAUUUAAGCAAAAAUCACGCGUUUUCUCUUCGCAAAUCCCCCAUUUAAGCGAAAAUCACGCGUUUUCUCUUCGAGAAUCCCCCAUUUAACCGAAAAUCACACGUUUUCUCUUCGCAAAUCCCCCAUUUAAGCGAAAAUCACGCGUUUUCUCUUCGCAAAUCCCCCAUUUAAGCGAAAAUCACGCGUUUUCUCUUCGCAAAUCCCCCAUUUAAGCGAAAAUCAUGCGUUUUCUCUUCGCAAAUCCCCCAUUUAAGCCGAAAAUAACGCGUUUUCUCUUCGAGAAUCCCCCAUUUAACCCAAAAAUCAUGCGUUUUCUCUUCGAGAAUCCCCCAUUUAAGCGAAAAUCACGCGUUUUCUCUUCGCAAAUCCCCCAUUUAACCCGAAAAUCACGCGUUUCCUCUUUAGAAUCCCCACUUUAACUUAAAAAUCACGCAUUUUCUCUUCGCAAAUCCCCCAUUUAAGCAAAAAUCACGCGUUUUCUUUUCGCAAAUCCCCCAUUUAACCCGAAAAUCACGCGUUUUCUCUUCGAGAAUUUUCCAUUUAAGGGAAAAUCACGCAUUUUCUCUUUGCAAAUCUCCCAUUUAAGCGAAAAUCACACGUUUUCUCUUCGCAAAUCCCCCAUUUAAGCGAAAAUCACGCGUUUUCUCUUCGCAAAUCCCCCAUUUAAGCGAAAAAUCACGCGUAUUCUCUUCGCAAAUCCCCCAUUUUAGCGAAAAUCACGCGUUUUCUCUUCGCAAAUCCCCCAUUUAAGCGAACAUCACGCGUUUUCUCUUCGCAAAUCCCCCAUUUAACCCGAAAAUCACGCGUUUUCUCUUCGCAAAUCCCCCAUUUAACCCGAAAAUCAAGCGUUUUCUCUUCGCAAAUCCCCCAUUUAACCCGAAAAUCACGCGUUUUCUCUUCGCAAAUCCCCCAUUUAAGCAAAAAUCACGCGUUUUCUCGUCGCAAAUCCCCCAUUUAAGCAAAAAUCACGCGUUUUCUCUUCGCAAAUCCCCCAUGUUACCCGAAAAUCACGCGUUUUCUCUUCGAGAAUCCCCCAUUUAAGUGAAAAUCACGCGUUUUCUCUUCGCAAAUCCCCCAUUUAACCCGAAAAUCACGCGUUUUCUCUUCGAGAAUCCCCCAUUGAACCCGAAAAACACACGUUUUCUCUUCGCAAAUCCCCCAUUUAAGCAAAAAUCACGCGUUUUCUCUUCGCAAAUCCCCCAUUUAACCAAAAAUCACGCGUUUUCUCUUCGCAAAUCCCCCAUUUAAGCGAAAAUCAUGCGUUUUCUCUUCGCAAAUCCCCCAUUUAAGCCGAAAAUCACGCGUUUUCUCUUCGAGAAUCCCCCAUUUAACCCAAAAAUCAUGCGUUUUCUCUUCGAGAAUCCCCCAUUUAAGCGAAAAUCACGCGUUUUCUCUUCGCAAAUCCCCCAUUUAACCCGAAAAUCACGCGUUUCCUCUUUAGAAUCCCCACUUUAACUUAAAAAUCACGCAUUUUCUCUUCGCAAAUCCCCCAUUUAAGCAAAAAUCACGCGUUUUCUCUUCGCAAAUCCCCCAUUUAAGCAAAAAUCACGCGUUUUCUCUUCGAGAAUUUUCCAUUUAACCCGAAAAUCACGCAUUUUCUCUUUGCAAAUCUCCCAUUUAAGCGAAAAUCACACGUUUUCUCUUCGCAAAUCCCCCAUUUAAGCGAAAAAUCACGCGUAUUCUCUUCGCAAAUCCCCCAUUUUAGCGAAAAUCACGCGUUUUCUCUUCGCAAAUCCCCCAUUUAAGCGAACAUCACGCGUUUUCUCUUCGCAAAUCCCCCAUUUAAGCGAAAAUCACGCGUUUUCUCUUCGCAAAUCCCCCAUUUAACCCGAAAACCACGCGUUUUCUCUUCGCAAAUCCCCCAUUUAUGCAAAAAUCACGCGUUUUCUCUUCGAGAAUCCCCCAUUUAACCAAAAAUCACGCGUUUUCUCUUUGAGAAUCCCCCAUUUAACCCGAAAAUCACGCGUUUUCUCUUUGCAAAUCCCCCAUUUAAGCAAAAAUCACGCGUUUUCUCGUCGCAAAUCCCCCAUUUAACCCGAAAAUCACGCGUUUUCUCUUUGAGAAUCCCCCAUUUAAGCGAAAAUCACGCGUUUUCUCUUCGCAAAUCCCCCAUUUAAGCGAAAAUCACGCGUAUUCGCUUCGCAAAUCCCCCAUUUAACCCAAAAAUCACGCGUUUUCUCUUCGAGAAUCCCCCAUUUAACCCGAAAAUCACACGUUUUCUCUUCGAGAAUCCCCCAUUUAACCCGAAAAUCACGCGUUUUCUCUUCGCAAAUCCCCCAUUUAAGCAAAAAUCACGCAUUUUCUCUUCGCAAAUCCCCGAUUUAACCCAAAAAUCACGCGUUUUCUCUUCGCACAUCCCCCAUUUAAUCGAAAAUCACGCGUUUUCUCUUUGCAAAUCUCCCAUUUAAGCGAAAAUCACGCGUUUUCUCUUCGCAAAUCCCCCAUUUAACCCGAAAAUCACGCGUUUUCUCUUCGCAAAUCCCCCAUUUAAGCGAAAAAUCACGCGUUUUCUCUUCGCAAAUCCCCCAUUUAAGCGAAAAUCACGCGUUUUCUCUUCGCAAAUCCCCCAUUUAAGCGAACAUCACGCGUUUUCUCUUCGCAAAUCCCCCAUUUAACCCGAAAAUCACGCGUUUUCUCUUCGCAAAUCCCCCAUUUAACCCGAAAAUCACGCGUUUUCUCUUUGCAAAUCCCCCAUUUAACCCGAAAAUCACGCGUUUUCUCGUCGCAAAUCCCCCAUUUAAGCAAAAAUCACGCGUUUUCUCUUCGCAAAUCCCCCAUGUUACCCGAAAAUCACGCGUUUUCUCUUCGAGAAUCCCCCAUUUAAGUGAAAAUCACGCGUUUUCUCUUCGCAAAUCCCCCAUUUAACCCGAAAAUCACGCGUUUUCUCUUCGAGAAUCCCCCAUUGAACCCGAAAAACACACGUUUUCUCUUCGCAAAUCCCCCAUUUAAGCAAAAAUCACGCGUUUUCUCUUCGCAAAUCCCCCAUUUAACCGAAAAUCACGCGUUUUCUCUUCGCAAAUCCCCCAGUUAACCCGAAAAUCACGCGUUUUCUCUUCGCAAAUCCCCCAUUUAACCCGAAAAUCACGCGUUUUCUCUUCACAAAUCCCCCAUUUAAGCGAAAAUCACGCGUUUUCUCUUCGCAAAUCCCCCAUUUAACCCAAAAAUCACAUAUUUUCUCUUCGCAAAUCCCCCAUUUAACCCGAAAAUCACGCGUUUUCUCUUCGCAAAUCCCCCAUUUAAGCGAAAAUCACGCGUUUUCUCUUCACAAAUCCCCCAUUUAAGCAAAAAUCACGCGUUUUCUCUUCGCAAAUCCCCCAUUUAAGCGAAAAUCACGCGUUUUCUCUUCGAGAAUCCCCCAUUUAAGUGAAAAUCACGCGUUUUCUCUUCGCAAAUCCCCCAUUUAACCCGAAAAUCACGCGUUUUCUCUUCGAGAAUCCCCCAUUGAACCCGAAAAACACGCGUUUUCUCUUCGAGAAUCCCCCAUUUAAGCAAAAAUCACGCGUUUUCUCUUCGCAAAUCCCCCAUUUAACCGAAAAUCACGCGUUUUCUCUUCGCAAAUCCCCCAUUUAAGCGAAAAUCAUGCGUUUUCUCUUCGCAAAUCCCCCAUUUAAGCUGAAAAUAACGCGUUUUCUCUUCGAGAAUCCCCCAUUUAACCCAAAAAUCAUGCGUUUUCUCUUCGAGAAUCCCCCAUUUAAGCGAAAAUCACGCGUUUUCUCUUCGCAAAUCCCCCAUUUAACCCGAAAAUCACGCGUUUUCUCUUCGAGAAUUUUCCAUUUAAGGGAAAAUCACGCAUUUUCUCUUUGCAAAUCUCCCAUUUAAGCGAAAAUCACGCGUUUUCUCUUCGCAAAUCCCCCAUUUAACCCGAAAAUCACGCGUUUUCUCUUCGCAAAUCCCCCAUUUAAGCGAAAAAUCACGCGUUUUCUCUUCGCAAAUCCCCCAUUUAAGCGAAAAUCACGCGUUUUCUCUUCGCAAAUCCCCCAUUUAAGCGAACAUCACGCGUUUUCUCUUCGCAAAUCCCCCAUUUAACCCGAAAAUCACGCGUUUUCUCUUCGCAAAUCCCCCAUUUAACCCGAAAAUCAAGUGUUUUCUCUUUGCAAAUCCCCCAUUUAACCCGAAAAUCACGCGUUUUCUCUUCGCAAAUCCCCCAUUUAAACAAAAAUCACGCGUUUUCUCUUCGCAAAUCCCCCAUUUAAGCAAAAAUCACGCGUUUUCUCUUCACAAAUCCCCCAUGUUACCCGAAAAUCACGCGUUUUCUCUUCGAGAAUCCCCCAUUUAAGUGAAAAUCACGCGUUUUCUCUUCGCAAAUCCCCCAUUUAACCCGAAAAUCACGCGUUUUCUCUUCGAGAAUCCCCCAUUGAACCCGAAAAACACACGUUUUCUCUUCGCAAAUCCCCCAUUUAAGCAAAAAUCACGCGUUUUCUCUUCGCAAAUCCCCCAUUUAAGCGAAAAUCACGCGUUUUCUCUUCGCAAAUCCCCCAUUUAAGCGAAAAUCAUGCGUUUUCUCUUCGCAAAUCCCCCAUUUAUGCCGAAAAUAACGCGUUUUCUCUUCGAGAAUCCCCCAUUUAACCCAAAAAUCAUGCGUUUUCUCUUCGAGAAUCCCCCAUUUAAGCGAAAAUCACGCGUUUUCUCUUCGCAAAUCCCCCAUUUAACCCGAAAAUCACGCGUUUCCUCUUUAGAAUCCCCACUUUAACUUAAAAAUCACGCAUUUUCUCUUCGCAAAUCCCCCAUUUAAGCAAAAAUCACGCGUUUUCUCUUCGCAAAUCCCCCAUUUAACCCGAAAAUCACGCGUUUUCUCUUCGAGAAUUUUCCAUUUAAGGGAAAAUCACGCAUUUUCUCUUUGCAAAUCUCCCAUUUAAGCGAAAAUCACACGUUUUCUCUUCGCAAAUCCCCCAUUUAAGCGAAAAUCACGCGUUUUCUCUUCGCAAAUCCCCCAUUUAAGCGAAAAAUCACGCGUAUUCUCUUCGCAAAUCCCCCAUUUUAGCGAAAAUCACGCGUUUUCUCUUCGCAAAUCCCCCAUUUAAGCGAACAUCACGCGUUUUCUCUUCGCAAAUCCCCCAUUUAACCCGAAAAUCACGCGUUUUCUCUUCGCAAAUCCCCCAUUUAAGCAAAAAUCACGCGUUUUCUCGUCGCAAAUCCCCCAUUUAAGCAAAAAUCACGCGUUUUCUCUUCGCAAAUCCCCCAUGUUACCCGAAAAUCACGCGUUUUCUCUUCGAGAAUCCCCCAUUUAAGUGAAAAUCACGCGUUUUCUCUUCGCAAAUCCCCCAUUUAACCCGAAAAUCACGCGUUUUCUCUUCGAGAAUCCCCCAUUGAACCCGAAAAACACACGUUUUCUCUUCGCAAAUCCCCCAUUUAAGCAAAAAUCACGCGUUUUCUCUUCGCAAAUCCCCCAUUUAACCAAAAAUCACGCGUUUUCUCUUCGCAAAUCCCCCAUUUAAGCGAAAAUCAUGCGUUUUCUCUUCGCAAAUCCCCCAUUUAAGCCGAAAAUAACGCGUUUUCUCUUCGAGAAUCCCCCAUUUAACCCAAAAAUCAUGCGUUUUCUCUUCGAGAAUCCCCCAUUUAAGCGAAAAUCACGCGUUUUCUCUUCGCAAAUCCCCCAUUUAACCCAAAAAUCACGCGUUUCCUCUUUAGAAUCCCCACUUUAACUUAAAAAUCACGCAUUUUCUCUUCGCAAAUCCCCCAUUUAAGCAAAAAUCACGCGUUUUCUCUUCGCAAAUCCCCCAUUUAAGCAAAAAUCACGCGUUUUCUCUUCGAGAAUUUUCCAUUUAACCCGAAAAUCACGCAUUUUCUCUUUGCAAAUCUCCCAUUUAAGCGAAAAUCACACGUUUUCUCUUCGCAAAUCCCCCAUUUAAGCGAAAAAUCACGCGUUUUCUCUUCGCAAAUCCCCCAUUUUAGCGAAAAUCACGCGUUUUCUCUUCGCAAAUCCCCCAUUUAAGCGAACAUCACGCGUUUUCUCUUCGCAAAUCCCCGAUUUAACCCGAAAAUCACGCGUUUUCUCUUCGCAAAUCCCCCAUUUAACCCGAAAACCACGCGUUUUCUCUUCGCAAAUCCCCCAUUUAUGCAAAAAUCACGCGUUUUCUCUUCGAGAAUCCCCCAUUUAACCAAAAAUCACGCGUUUUCUCUUUGAGAAUCCCCCAUUUAACCCGAAAAUCACGCGUUUUCUCUUUGCAAAUCCCCCAUUUAAGCAAAAAUCACGCGUUUUCCUCGUCGCAAAUCCCCCAUUUAACCCGAAAAUCACGCGUUUUCUCUUUGAGAAUCCCCCAUUUAAGCGAAAAUCACGCGUUUUCUCUUCGCAAAUCCCCCAUUUAAGCGAAAAUCACGCGUAUUCGCUUCGCAAAUCCCCCAUUUAACCCAAAAAUCACGCGUUUUCUCUUCGAGAAUCCCCCAUUUAACCCGAAAAUCACACGUUUUCUCUUCGAGAAUCCCCCAUUGAACCCGAAAAACACACGUUUUCUCUUCGCAAAUCCCCCAUUUAAGCAAAAAUCACGCAUUUUCUCUUCGCAAAUCCCCGAUUUAACCCAAAAAUCACGCGUUUUCUCUUCGCACAUCCCCCAUUUAAUCGAAAAUCACGCGUUUUCUCUUCGCAAAUCCCCCAUUUAACCCGAAAAAUCACGCAUUUUCUAUUCGAGAAUCCUCCAUUUAAGUGAAAAUCAUGUGUUUUCUCUUCGAGAGUCCCCAUUUAAGCAAAAAUCACGCAUUUUCUCUUCGAGAAUCCUCCAUUUAAGCGAAAAUCACACAUUUUCUCUUCGAGAGUCCCCAUUUAAGCAAAAAUCACGCAUUUUCUCUUCGAGAAUCCCCCAUUUAAGCGAAAAUCACACAUUUUCUCUUCGAGAAUCCUCCAUUUAACCCGAAAUUCAUGCAUUUUCUCUUUGGAAAUCUUCCUUUUAACCUGAAAAUCACGCCUUUUCUCUUCAGGAAUCCCCCAUUUAUGCAAAAAUCACGCGUUUUCUCUUCGGGAUUCCCCCAUUUAUCCCGAAAAUCACGUGUUUUCUCUUCGUAAAUUCCCCAUUUAUCUUGAAAAUCACGCUUUUUCUCUUCCAGAAUCCCCCCUUUAACCGAAAAUGACGCAAUUUCUCUUCGUAAAUCCCCCAUUUAACUCAAAAAUCACGUGUUUUCUCUUCGCAAAUCCCCCAUUUAACCCAAAAAUCACGCGUUUUCUCUUCGAGAAUCCCCCAUUUUACUCUAAAAUCACGCGUUUUCUCUUCGCAAAUCCCCCAUUUAAGCGAAAAUCACGCGUUUUCUUAUUGAAAAUCCCCCAUUUUACCUGAAAAUCACAUUUUUUCUCUUCUAGAAUCCCCUUUUUAACCCGAAAAUCACGCGUUUUCUCUUCAAAAGUCUACCAUUUCACCUGGAAAUCAACCAUUUUCUCAUGGUUAGUCCCCCAUUUAAGCGAAAAUCACGCAUUUUUCUCUUCAAGAAUCUUGCAUUUAGCCCAAAAAUCUCACUUUUUUUUUUUCGGAAAUCCCCCAUUUAAGCGAAAAUCAUGCGUUUUCUCUUCGAAAAUCUUCCAUUUAACCCGAAAUUCUCGCAUUUUCUUUUUCAGUAUCCCCCAUUGAAUCUGCAAAGCAUGCAUUUUGUCUUCAAGACUCACCCAUUUUUCUGAAAAUCACACGUUUUUUCUUGGAAAAUGCUCCAUUUAUUCAGAAAAUCUCACAUUUUGUUUUCG
ensembl:lncRNA